UACGUAGGGUGCAAGCGUUGUCCGGAAUUAUUGGGCGUAAAGAGCUCGUAGGCGGUUUGUCGCGUCUGCUGUGAAAACUCGGGGCUUAACUGUGGGCUUGCGGUCGAUACGGGCAUCACUGGAGUUCGGCAGGGGAGACUGGAAUUCCUGGUGUAGCGGUGAAAUGCGCAGAUAUCAGGAGGAACACCGGUGGCGAAGGCGGGUCUCUGGGCCGAUAUUGACGCUGAGGAGCGAAAGCGUGGGGAGCAAACAGG
rnacentral:rRNA from 1 species